UGCUGCCUCAGCUGGCGUGAUCUCGUUCUGAAACCAAAUCUGGACCCUGGGCUCCGGAAUGCCGAUGGCCUGGGCAUCGCCCAGGCCACCAGCUCUUCCCUGGUGGCGAUGCCCCGGUACGGGUUCCGCUCAAAGCAGGCUCGCAGGGCCUCCCUUUGGCUCGGGGUCCAAACGAGUCUCCUUCGCCGUCCUCCCCCUCGGGCUUCCGCCUGGAGGGCGCUGUCGGAAGAGGUCGGGAGAGCCAUGGCGGGGAGACCUGGCCGGAAUUUCGCGGACAGACACGUACAGAGAGGCCGGCGGGCUCCCGUGCCCCUCAGUCGGCCUGUGCACGGCGCGCAGGUCCAGCCAGGAGGCCGGCCCAGCCGGCCAGCGGCCCUUAUAAAGGCCCACAGGCUUCACCCCUUCAGGAACGCGGAAGGAGCCCCUGGGAAAAGAAAAGACAGAAAAUCAUUUUUGGAUACUUGCAUUUUCAGCAUAAAGACUUUUCUAAAGAGAAACAAAAUACCAUCAUCAUGAAGGCAUGGAUCAGACAUCUUCUCCACUGAGUUCUUUCAGGUUCUCAGGGAAAAUCUGGUUGAUUAGGAAGAUUCCUGGUAAUGUGUCUUUCAGAAAAAAACAAUUUAAUUUACAUACAUAGCUUAAUUUUGUGUACUAAACAAUUUUAAAAUUUCCAUGGAUGUACGUGUUUUGGAAAUAUAUUAUGGUAGUGUUUCUAAGACGUUUAGGAGUUAAUUAGCCAAGUUUUGUGGUGCAUGCCUGAAGGCCCAGCUACUAAGGAGGCUGAGGUGGGAGGAUCACCUGGUCUCCUUGGGAGGUCAAGGCUGCAGUGGGUUGUGAUCUUGCCACUGCACUCCAGGCUGGAUGAGAAAAAAAGACCAUGUCUCAAAAAAAAAAAAAAAAAAAAGAAAGAAAGAAAGAAAGAAAGAAGAAAAGGAAAGAAAAGAAAACAAUGCCCACCCCAUGGGUUUAUAUUUUCUUCUUCGGAUUUUUGUUUGUUUGCUUUGUUUAUGCUUUUGAUUUUAGGGGGCAGCAGCUUCCCUAAAAUGCUAGAAGCCCACAGCAGAUUCAGAUCUACCAAAUAUAGUUUCGUUUUCUUCUACUGUUUUGCUUUGGAAAAAUGUUGAAAGAUAUUGAAUACUUAUAUACUGUGCUGGGUUUUGUUUCGUUAAUAUUUCCCAUCUCAUAUUUUAGAUAUAAAUAAAAAUUACAAUACUACUUGAUAUCUUUCUAAUCCCAAGCAUUCAUUUUUACUUUCUAUAUUUUAAACAUUACUGUUUCUUUAAUUGCUAUACCAUAAAUAUUUACAGGUUUUGAAUGAUAUGUACAGCACAUUUCUAAAUAUUUUAGGCAAUUGUCAAGACAACGCUGAUAGUCAGAGAAAGAUUCGUGGAGACAUGAAUCUUUCAUGAAUUCGUGGAGACACGAAAAGGGAUUUCAGGUCAGAAAAUCAGUAUCUAAAUAGACUUAAAUAAGUGAUUUUUUUUCAAAUAUGGUCAAUGGAAUGUAAAUUUUAUUAUGUACAUGCUUCUAUUAUGUAAAUUGUAUUAUUUUUAUGGCUACUAUAUAGCCAUAGGAAGAAUAUAACCAUGAAGAAGAAGAAAGUGAGGUAUCAAAAAACUGUGAUGAGAAUAGAAUCUUGGGGAAGUAAAAGUAAACCUCAAGGAAAGGGGAUUAAUAAACAGUAGUUGCUUCUACUAGUGUACUCUUGGAGAUUGUAGGUUCAGAAACCAACAUUAACACUUUUGAUAGUGAAUUUUGGAAAGCUUACAAAAUCACUGCAACUUGUCUUCAGCCAUAGGUCUGAUUCCUUGGAAACUUAUGGAAAAUACAUUGUACUGGGUAUAUUAACUUUCAACAAACUAACAUCUGGAGAUGUCUAGAGCUUCCUUUUUAGUCAACAUCUGCCAAAAAUGAUUUAGCCUUGGGAAUCAAAUCUAAAACCAACCAAAUCUCUGAGAUUCCUUUAGUGAUCAAGAAUAUGGGUAUUUUUUAUGUGAAUACAUCUUGACUUGGGUCUAGGUUUCUGUUUAAACCUGUGCUAGAAUCUCUGUCUGUAACACAGGUCAACAGCACUACAUCCCAAGAAUAAUGCUUGAAAAUAAUUAAUCAGUUCAUUUACUACUUAUAUGGUAAUUUGCUGUGCCAGAAAUUUGCCAGAAUUUCUGAAAAUGAGAUAGUUCAGAGAACGAGAUGCAACUUUCUUAUUAAAUUUUAAAAAAAUAGGUAAUAUAAUGACUUUCGCACAGAUAUAAAUUACUUCAUAAAAUAUCUUAUUCAGGCCGGGCGCGGUGGCUCAAGCCUGUAAUCCCAGCACUUUGGGAGGCCGAGACGGGGGGAUCACGAGGUCAGGAGAUCGAGACCAUCCUGGCUAACACGGUGAAACCCCGUCUCUACUAAAAAUACAAAAAGUAGCCGGGCGAGGUGGCGGGCGCCUGUAGUCCCAGCUACUCGGGAGGCUGAGGCAGGAGAAUGGCGUAAACCCGGGAGGCGGAGCUUGCAGUGAGCUGAGAUCUGGCCACUGCACUCCAGUCCGGGCGACAACGCAAGACCCCCCCUAAAAAAAAAAAAAAAUCUUAUUCAUUACUGAAGAAACCAGUAAAAUAUUACAAUUGGAUAAAAAUAGAUUUCAAAAUGCC
ensembl:lincRNA